rnacentral:rRNA from 1 species
CCUACGGGUGGCAGCAGUGGGGAAUAUUGCACAAUGGGGGAAACCCUGAUGCAGCGACGCCGCGUGAGUGAAGGAGUAUUUCCGUAUGGAAAGCUCUAUCAGCAGGGGAGAAAAUGACGGUACCUGAUUCAGAAGCCCCGGCUAACUCCGUGCCAGCCGCCGCGGUAAUACGUAGGGGGCAAGCGUUAUCCGGAUUUACUGGGUGUAAAGGGAGCGUAGACGGCAGCACAAGUCUGGAGGGAAAUGCCGGGGCUUAACCCCGGAACGGCUUUGGAAACUGGGCAGCUAGAGUGCAGGAGAGGGAAGUGGAAUUCCCAGUGUAGCGGUGAAAUGCGUAGAUAUUAGGAGGAACACCAGUGGCGAAGGCGGGUUACUGGACUGUAACUGACGUUGAGGCUCGAAAGCGUGGGGAGCAAACAGGAUUAGAUACCCCGGUAGUC